rnacentral:rRNA from 1 species
UGACGAAGCGACGCCGCGUGCGGGAAGAAGGCCUUCGGGUUGUAAACCACUGUCGGGAGUUAAGAAAUGCAAGGAUAUUAAUAGUGUCUUUGUUUGACUAAGGCUCCGGAGGAAGCCACGGCUAACUCUGUGCCAGCAGCCGCGGUAAUACAGAGGCGGCAAGCGUUGUUCGGAAUUAUUGGGCGUAAAGAGCACGUAGGCGGCUGUGUAAGUCGGUUGUGAAAGCCUUCCGCUUAACGGAAGAACAGCGACUGAUACUGCAUGGCUAGAGUGCGGGAGGGGAGAGUGGAACUUCUGGUGGAGCGGUGAAAUGCGUAGAUAUCAGAAGGAACGCCGGCGGCGAAAGCGGCUCUCUGGACCGUAACUGACGCUGAGUGUGCGAAAGCUAGGGGAGCAAACAGGAUUAGAUACCCCGGUAGUCCUAGCCGUAAACGAU